CAGGGAGCAGGGGUACCUUUGUCCAGGAAUCAUGAAUGCCUGUGUGGGAGCUGGAGGAACAGCUUGCUGCCUUUGGAGAGGUACCAAAGAGAGGGACAAGAAUUCAUUUGCAAGCCUUAUGUAAUAUCCAGCCCUGCCAAGAGGUGCAUGCUGGGGGCUCCCUCUCCCCACACAGCACUCCAGGAUUCAGGAAUGCCUCCGCUUCCUUCUCUUUGCAGAAGGCAAGCACAGACCUCCUACAAGAUCAUCUCCCACCUCUACUGUGCAUCUGUUCAUUUUCUGCCUGUCAAGGCUCUUCAGAAUUUAAAAGAUCUUGCAGGAGAUAGGAGAACAAGAUUUCAAGUGUGAGUGCAUCAGAUCCGACGUGAAACAUGAAUUUUUAUUGCUUGACUUAUUUUUCUUACUUUUUUCUUUUUUUUUUUUUUUUUUUAAGUGGAAAAGAGAAAGGAGAACUGCUGUGUAGGGAAUUGUUGCUUGCAGUAUAUCUUUCUCAGCAGUAAAAAUAUCUCCAAGACAGAAGUACAGUUCCCUUUUUAGUCCUGACACCUCCAAAGCCUGAUAUAUGUGGCUGAGUUAGAUGGAAAGGUAUUAUUAGGUUUUUUCUUGGAUUAUGAUGCAAGCUCAAGCUGGCUGGGCUCAUCAGGCAGUAAAUCCAGUGCAAACAGCUGGGGCCAAAUUCUGCUCUUGUCCAUGUUGCUGUUUGUGGCCAGAAUUCCUCUCCACUGGGAUCCUGGUUCCCUUCUAUCAUUUGUGAGGGUGUGCCCAGGGCAUGACUUACAGUGCAACCUGUCAUUGACAAAGUAAUUCUUGUUGAAUGCUAUUCAAGAAAAAAAAAAAAAAAAAAGGGUUAUUCUUCCUUACACAGCACAGGAAUCCAAAAUUCAGGCCUUAAUCACACAGCUAAGAUUUGCUAGGUAUGGCACGGGGAGUUAUUUAUACAGGGCUUUUAUCAUCAGUGACUUCUUGUUUCAAAAAUAAGCCCUUUUCAACUCC